rnacentral:rRNA from 1 species
CCCUUAGAUGCUCUGGGCCGCACGCGCGCUACACUGGUCGAUGCAACGAGUUUCUUUCCUUGGCCGACAGGCCUGGGCAAUCUUUGAACAUCGAUCGUGAUCGGGAUAGAUUCUUGUAAUUUUUGAUCUUAAACGAGGAAUUCCUAGUAAACGCAAGUCAUCAGCUUGCAUUGAUUACGUCCCUGCCCUUUGUACACACCGCCCGUCGCACCUACCGAUUGAAUGGUCCGGUGAAAUCUCCGGACUGGCGUGAGUCGGAGCAAUCUGACAAACGCCGGAAAGUUGAUUAAACCUUACCAUUUAGAGGAAGGUGANGUCGUNACA